rnacentral:lncRNA from 1 species
UACAGCCUUCUACGAGAAACCCCGCCACCUCUCAACGGAUAUCUUAAAUCCCAGCGACGGUCGAUUUUUCAGUCUCUUAUACCAUCCUCCCCAACCCCGAACCAAAGCCGAGAGAGAUCGAGGCAGCGGCCGAGACGAAGCAGAGAUGGAGCGAGGAGGAGGAGGAGGAGGAGGAUCAGGGGAUGACCCGUUAUCAUGGAGAGGAAAGCAAAAGCGGAGCUCCAUGGAUGAGGAGACAGAGGAGGAGGAGGAGGAGACGGAGAGGUAGACGUCGGCUUCCUCUUCAUUUCAAGAAUGUUUGCUAAUUCUGUCAAGAAAUGUUCAAGAACUCAACCUCUGCUCCUUUUUCUUUCUUUCUUUUUUUGGCUCCACGCACUUGUCUUAAUCUUUCUUUUCUUCUUGAUCUUCUUGGUUUCUUUUACUGCAUCAGCCCAGCAGCGUCGUCUCCGGAUCCUUUUGUUCCUGCCAUCAGAGAGUCUCUUGGAAUCAGAGAUGAAGGACCGGGAUGCUAUCCGUGGGCAGGACUGAGCUCGGAUUUUUCUUAUGAACGCGAGGGUGAAUCCUUUUCUCCCUUCUACUUUUUAUUUCUUUUCCACCAAUUGUGUUUAGUUACUAAAGAAUUCAAUUUAUAUCAAAAAACAUUCUGUUUGGUUGAAUUUUGAACAGGGUUUCUCCCUCCCUCCCUUCCUGCCUCUCUCUCUAUAUAUAUGCUUCCAACUAUGUCAUUGAUACAAAAGAAUUCUGUAAAUAAUGCAAAAAUAAGAAGAAGCGUUUCAUUUAAUAUACUUCUAUCCAUGCCUCUUUUACCAAGGAAAUUAGGAGAUAAUGCAAGAAAAGGGAAGAAAAGUUUCAUUUGGUCCAAUCUUGGAUAGUAAAGAUUUCUCCUACUCUCUCUAUUGAUAUGCAUGUUUCCACAUUGUAGUUACAAAAAUAUUUGGUAAACAGUGCAAGAAACGAGGAUAAACAUCAUGUUUGGUCGAAUUCUAUAUAAGAAUUAUCCGAAAAGUAGGAAUUAUGUGUAGAAGUCUAGAAAAUAUGGCCUUCAUAAUAGUUGGAAAAAGGGUCUAGAAUGCCCUGCAGAAUCUAAGUGCCCAAAUUUUUAAACUGGGUGAAGCAGCAUCAUAUUUGCAAGAAAAAUGAAAGAAGUGAGUCGAAAAGCAGAACUUGGAAAAAAUUUUGAUUGGUAGUUAUAUUUAAGGGUUAAAAAUUGUGUGAUUUAGGAACUUUUUUUCCUUUAUAAUCGAAAAUAUCAUGUAUGUAUCCGUAAUAUGUAAAGGAACCUCCUUUGUAAGUGCUCAUAUACUUGCAAAUCGGACUUAUUAGAAAGCUACCUAUAGGAUGACUCACAAACUUGGGAAAUCUUUCUAUGGUGAGGUGUAAACUUGUGAAAUUGGAAAGAAAAUCUGGUGAUGAUAUUAGAGCCUAAAGUGCAAUAAUUUUUCUUCCUUAUUCAAGUGGAAACAUGUCAAAGAAUCAGGUAUUUAGGUCAGAAAAGGAACAAAGGCAGGGAUGCUCAUUUCUUACAGCAAGUCUAAUCCUUGAAAGAAAGGCCACAAUGUUUCAUUCCUGUGGAGUUUCUGAAAUAAAAGCUUGCUUACCCUGCUUAGCUAUUCUGCUUGCGGCCAAUUUUGGCGAAAUGAGCACAAGGUGCUAUAAUGUAUCUGCUUUUAGUGUUGUCAGUUGAGAAGGUGUCCAAUUAUCAGAUCACAUUUUGAUCUUCUGUGAUAUUGGUGGAAGGUCUGAUAAUUGCAGAAAAUUGCUCAGUGACACCAAUUUGUGUAUGGCAUUUGAUCUUCUGUCAUCACCAAUGUAUAUAGGUAUGAAACUUGGAUCUUUUAUGAGAUUUUAUGCACUUAGGACUGGGGAAAAGUGUCAUAUGUGAUCAGCAAAGUUAAGCGAAAGAAAUGAAUGAAAUAAUGCCUUUUUACGUAUGCUUUUCUAAUGUCAAGAACAAGCAAUCAGUUCAAUAGACAAUGUAUCUCCAAGAUACUUAAUGUUUAGGAUUAGUGAGAAGGCAUAGUGUGGAGGGGAGUCUUGGCUGAAGAUAUUACAGAAUUAAGUGUGCUACUGUUCUCUAGAAAGUAAAAAAGAGCAAGUAGUUUGAUAGUAUAUUAAUCCAUUGGAAAAUUGAUAUCAACUAGGUCUUAAAGGUAGAGGAAGGCAAAAGAGUAAGUGUGGAGGAACAAAUUUGUUGUGUGGGAUGAAUAAGGUGAGUGAUUAACCAAAUUACCUGCAAUAGCAAUUUAUCUUAUAGGGAAAAUUCAAGGCAGAGAGGAAAAUCAGAGGAAACUAAAUCAAAAAUCCAUAGGAAACCCUAGAGAGAGAUGCAAAUAUUUAAGGAGGCUUCAGUGCUGAGAAUUAGAAAAGUGGCAUGCUUUUCUUCUUUUUUAUUUAAGAAAUUCUUUUCUUGCCAACAAAAAUAGGCACCAGGUGAUGAUAUGUAGCAUUAGGUGCAAGGUAAGAACAUCUUCACCUGCUCAUAGAAAAUGAUAGAAUUGAAUGACUUGAAAUCCUCAGUGCUAAUACAUUUUUGUUAAAUUUUGAACUGCAUUUUUGCUUCUUAUCAUUAAUCUCUCUUUCAUACUAUCCAUUUUUAAACAAUAAUAAGCAUUAGACAAAUUACAUGAAGUCAAGUAUCUCUCUUGAAAUACAUUUACAAAUUACAUGAACAUCCUAAAUUUAUUAUUGCUGUCUUCUCCUUCCUGUCGUCACCUUUUGCCCUAUGAUUUUAAUCAUUAGUAUCUUUAAGAUAACCAGGUUUUGGUGAACCAGCUAGCGACAUCGAUGACAUCUCUUGGAAUACCAAAUCUACAUAUGCUUCUUCCUUGCCUAAUUGUUCUGAAGGUUGUUAUUUUGGGUCCAUUGACUGAACACAAUCCAAGUAGCCUCCUUGUCGCUUUAGUUGUUGUCACAUACUCAGCCAUUGUAACAUGCACUUUUAACUACUGGGUCCUUUGACUAAGUAAGAUUAACAUAUAUCGUGUAUAUAUCUUAUCUGCAGCACAUAUGCAAAGCUGGAAUCUUCAUGUUAUAUCAAUCCUCUUUUCAUGCUAAUGGCAGUGGCAGCUGUCUUUUAUGCAACAAAGAAUCUACUUUACUGUGUUUUAGUGACUCUUAAAAAGAAUUUACUGUGAAAUGGCAAAAACCAGAUAACCUGUGAGUUAUGCAAGGCUAUGUAGACCAUCAGAAUUGUUCAUUUAAACUUAAAGCAUGCGAGUUUUAUUUUUCCCAUAAA